rnacentral:lncRNA from 1 species
CUCUGGAGGCUCCCUGGUGCCGAGGGUCGCUGGGGCUCCCGGGGACAAGUCCGGGUCUGCACUUGGGAGCUGGGGGCCUCCCACCUCGCCUAGCCAGCUGCGCUCUCCGCGUGUGUGCAGAGAGAGGGUCGCGGUUUUGGUGGUGGUUUGGUUUUUUUGGUCGUUGUUUUGUAGAAGCGGUUCAAGGGCUCACUUUGUUCCAGGCACGGUUCCAAGGGGUCUCUCACUCUCUCUCUCUCUCUCCCGCGCUCUACCUCUCCCUCUCUCCGUCUCUCUUAUCCUCUCCGUCUGUCAACCUCCCCUCCAUUCACCCUGAGCACAGACAAGCAGCCACAGGACUGAAGCCGGCCAGUCGGGCCCCUGCCUGUGCCCUGAUACCUGCUUUCUGCCCCUGCUGGCCCCAGGGCACUGUUUGGAGCACAGAGGACAUGGUGUCGAGUCCUGGGUUCAGGACUGGGCCAGGUGGACCUGUCUCAGGACCCUUUCGCUCCCUCCCUGGAGGACACACGGAGGGGAGAGCCCUGGACCCACCAAGUGGGACUUGGGCGGCACCGCCUGCAGUCCGGACAAGCUGUGGAAAGGAGGGACACCGAGUCACACACGUGCACGUCUGCAAUUCUGUUCUAAAGCUCUGCGCGUUAUCCACUGCGUCUCACGAGAACCCAAUGCCUGCGUCUGACAGAUGAGGGUCAUCACCAAGAACCAGUGUCCAGCUGCAGCCCCGGUCGGCGCCGUGUCCACUGCGCGGAACUCUAACCCAGGUGCGCCGCAGGGUGUUGGGGUGAGACAGGGGAGUGGCCAGGCUCUCUCCUGGGGACGGAUGAGCAUGUGCCUGCAUGACACACGGUUUUCAGGGUCCCCAUCUGGGGGCAGCUGAACUGCUGUCCUGAGACUUCUGUGCGUGUCUUCGAGGCCAUUGUCCCCACGACCAUGUGGAGCAACUUUCCUGGUCACCGAGGACCAGCAUAAGCCGUCCCAGAGUGCUGCAUUCUUUUUUUUUUUUUUUUUUUNNNNNNNNNNNNNNNNNNNNNNN